GAUGAACGCUGGCGGCGUGCCUAAUACAUGCAAGUCGAACGCAUUGUGGUUGAAAUGAUAUGAAGAACUUGUUCAGAUUUGAUUUUCAACAUUGCAAUGAGUGGCGAACGGGUGAGUAACACGUGGGAAACCUACCUCUUAGCAGGGGAUAACAUUUGGAAACAAAUGCUAAUACCGUAUAAUAAUUAAAACCGCAUGGUUUUAGUUUAAAAGAUGGUCUUGCUAUCACUAAGAGAUGGUCCCGCGGUGUAUUAGUUAGUUGGUGAGGUAAUGGCUCACCAAGACAAUGAUACAUAGCCGAGUUGAGAGACUGACCGGCCACAAUGGGACUGAGACACGGCCCAUACUCCUACGGGAGGCAGCAGUAGGGAAUCUUCCACAAUGGACGAAAGUCUGAUGGAGCAACGCCGCGUGUGUGAUGAAGGUUUCGGCUCGUAAAACACUAGUUGUAAGAGAAGAAUGACAUUGAGAGUAAC
rnacentral:rRNA from 1 species